AAACAGGUUGGCUGCUGACCAGAACCUGCAGCUGUGUAGAAGAGAUGUCUCUGCACAAGCACCAGGCAACAAAGAGUGAUGAUAGUGUCUGAACACUUCCUCACUUCCUAUGAUAUUGACUGCAGUUUGGAAAUCAAGAAGGAGGUGGUCCAAUGCAUGGGCUCCUUCCAGGAUGGGGUGGCUGAGAAGUGUGUUGAUUAUUUUCAGAGAUUCCGACGUUCUACCCACGUGACGCCCAAAUCAUACCUCUCCUUUAUUCAGGGCUAUAAGUUCAUAUAUGGAGAAAAGCAUGUGGAGGUGCAGACCCUGGCCAACAGAAUGAAUACUGGAUUGGAAAAGCUCAAAGAAGCUUCAGAGUCUGUUGCAGCCUUGAGUAAAGAACUGGAAGCGAAAGAAAAGGAGCUACAAGUGGCCAACGAUAAAGCCGACAUGGUCUUAAAAGAAGUGACAAUGAAAGCACAGGCUGCUGAAAAGGUCAAGGCUGAGGUACAGAAGGUGAAGGACAGGGCCCAGGCCAUUGUGGACAGCAUCUCUAAAGACAAAGCCAUUGCUGAAGAAAAACUGGAAGCAGCAAAACCAGCUUUAGAAGAGGCAGAAGCUGCAUUGCAGCAAUUCCCAAAAGACACAAUCAAUGAAGAGGUGAUAGAGUUUUUGAGUCCUUACUUUGAAAUGCCUGACUAUAACAUCGAAACUGCUAAACGCGUAUGUGGAAAUGUAGCUGGUCUUUGUUCCUGGACGAAAGCUAUGGCUUCCUUCUUUU
rnacentral:sRNA from 1 species